rnacentral:rRNA from 1 species
ACGGGAGGCAGCAGUGGGGAAUAUUGGGCAAUGGGCGAAAGCCUGACCCAGCAACGCCGCGUGAAGGAAGAAGUUCUUCGGAUUGUAAACUUCUUUUAUGAGGGACGAUAAUGACGGUACCUCAUGAAUAAGCCCCGGCUAACUACGUGCCAGCAGCCGCGGUAAUACGUAGGUGGCAAGCGUUAUCCGGAUUUACUGGGUGUAAAGGGCGCGUAGGCGGGAAAGCAAGUCAGAAGUGAAAUCCAUGGGCUCAACUCAUGAACUGCAUUUGAAACCGUUUAUCUUGAGUGUAGGAGAGGUAGGUGGAAUUCCUAGUGUAGCGGUGAAAUGCGUAGAUAUUAGGAGGAACACCAGUGGCGAAGGCGAUCUACUGGACGAUAACUGACGCUGAGGCGCGAAAGCGUGGGGAGCAAACAGGAUUAGAUACCCUGGUA